rnacentral:rRNA from 1 species
UGGCGGCGUGGUUAAGACAUGCAAAGUCGGACGCUAAUUAGGAGGUAGCAAUAUUUUCUAGUUGGAGUGGCGCAAAGGGUGCGUAACACGUGGGUAAUCUGCCGUGAAGUUUGGGAUAACUCGCUGAAAGGCGAGCUAAUACCGGAUGUGAAGGUGAGGAAGCAUUUUUUGACCUUCAAAGCUGGGGACCGUAACAGGCCUGGCGCUUCACGAUGAGCCCGCGGCCUAUCAGCUAGUUGGUGAGGUAACGGCUCACCAAGGCUAAGACGGGUAGCUGGUCUGAGAGGACGACCAGCCACACUGGAACUGAGACACGGUCCAGACACCUACGGGUGGCAGCAGUCGAGAAUUUUUCACAAUGGGCGCAAGCCUGAUGGAGCGACGCCGCGUGGGGGAUGAAGGGUUUCGAUCCGUAAACCCCUGUCAUUUGCGAACAAUGGUUGAGCAAUAACACUGUUCAACUUGAUAGUAGCGGAAGAGGAAGGGACGGCUAACUCUGUGCCAGCAGCCGCGGUAAUACAGAGGUCCCAAGCGUUGUUCGGAUUCACUGGGCGUAAAGGGUGCGUAGGUGGCCGUGGAAGUUCGGUGUGAAAGCUCGGAGCUCAACUCCGA